GUGAGGAAUAUUGGUCAAUGGACGGAAGUCUGAACCAGCCAUGCCGCGUGAAGGAUGAAGGCGUUCUGCGUUGUAAACUUCUUUUAUCAGAGAAGAAACCACUGAUUUCUAUUAGUGUUGACGGUAUCUGAUGAAUAAGCACCGGCUAACUCCGUGCCAGCAGCCGCGGUAAUACGGAGGGUGCAAGCGUUAUCCGGAUUUACUGGGUUUAAAGGGUGUGUAGGCGGGCUAUUAAGUCAGGGGUGAAAUCCCGGGGCUCAACCUCGGAACUGCCUUUGAUACUAUUAGUCUUGAAUUAUGUUGAGGUUGGCGGAAUAUAACAUGUAGCGGUGAAAUGCAUAGAUAUGUUAUAGAACACCGAUUGCGAAGGCAGCUGGCUAAACAUAUAUUGACGCUGAGGCACGAAAGCGUGGGUAGCGAACAGGAUUAGAAACCCCUGUAGUCC
rnacentral:rRNA from 1 species